rnacentral:lncRNA from 1 species
GGUUCUUGAUACGUUGGCCAGUCUGACCUCGAAUUUGCUAUCCUCCUGCCUCAAUAGCUAGGAUUACAGGUAUGUACCACCAUGCCAGGCUCCAUUUUAAUUCCUUUCGAGUUGUAGUUCAGUGAUACCAAGUAUUUUCACAUUUUGGUGUGAUACCACUUUCACUAUCCAUUUCCAAAACUUUUUCAUCAUUCCAAAUAGAAAUUCUGUAUUAUUUAAUAGUAACUCCCCAUUCAUCUCUCCCCUAGACCCUGGUUACCAUUACUCUAUUUUGUCUUUAUGCAUUUGCAAAAUCUAGGUACCUUAUAUAAGUGGAGUUAUAUAAUGUUUGUCUUUUUGUGUCUGGUUCUUUUACUUAUCAUAAUGUUUUCAAGUUUGUCCCCAUUGUAGCAUCGCUGACUAAUAUUUCAUUGUAUCUAUAUCCCACAUUUUAUUAAUCUAACAAUCUUAGGACACUUAGGAUGCUUCUGCAUUUUGGCUACUCAAGCAACACUGCUAUGAACAUGAAUGUGCAAGUACUUUUUUGAGUCUCUAAUUCAUUUUUUUUAUUACUAUCAAGGAGUAAAAUUGCUGGAUCAUAUGGUAAAUCUGUAUUUAACUUUUUGAGGAAUUGCCAGACUCUUUUCCUCUUUUCCCCUUUUCAGCAAAAUGGAAUAUAUUUAAUAAUUAUUUGGGAUAACAGUGUAAACUGGGACUGUCCCAGGCAGAUUGGGAUAUAUGGUCAUUUUUCCUAUAUAUAGAUAUAUGGCUGAAAUGUUCAGAGAACAUUGUUCACCAGUGUACGUUUUCCAUUUGUGCUAUAAAACUUCGUUGUGUACAUGGCCACUCAGAAUGAAAUUUGGUUCCCUGGCUGCCUAACAGCAAGGUGUAGCCAUGAAACCAAGUUCUGGCGAAUGGAUGAGUAAUGGUGGGCAGCUUCUGGGGGGGUCAUUCUUGUCUCCUCUCUCUCUCUCUUUUCUCCUGGCUUGAAAAGAGAGGUGAUGGCUACUAGAUCCUGAAGCUUGAGACACCUUGGAAAAAGAAGAUGUACAACACGGAACAAGGGGAUAAGAGGAGCCCCUGUCCCUGACAACAGAUUGGGAUUCCUGAUACUGCCCUGGACCACCUACCUCAGGAUUUUUACUUGAGAAAGAAAGAAAUUCUUGGUGUCUUUCUUUCUUUCUUUCUUUCUUUCUUUCUUUCUUUCUUUCUUUCUUUCUUUCUUUCUUUCUUUCUUUUCUUCUUGAUCCUAAUUCUUUCAUGUAUUUCUAGUAGCUAGUUACCAUUUUUUUUCUUUUUCUUUGAGAAAGGGUCAUGCUAAUUUGUCCAGCUGGCCUUAUACAUGAGAUGCUCCUGCCCCAGCCUCCCAAGUGCUGGUAUUAUAGACAAGCACCAUCGUUCCUGGCUUAUAUUGAUCACUGUGAUGCUCUAAAGGGGAUCAUUUUAUGUUACUGUUCUUAGAGUGGAAACCAGCUGCAGUAUCUGGCCUUCUUUGCUUUGUUGGACCUCAGUCUAGUUUGAGUUCCUUUGCCCUCCACACCUCCUCCUUCCUUUUUCUCCUCAGUCUUUUGUUCCCCCAUCCCACGACAAAGCCUCUCAGCCUAAACAGUCACUAUUUUCUCCACCAAUUCUCC